rnacentral:rRNA from 1 species
AUUGAACGCUGGCGGCAUGCCUUACACAUGCAAGUCGAACGGCAGCGGGCCCUUCGGGGUGCCGGCGAGUGGCGAACGGGUGAGUAAUGCAUCGGAACGUACCCUGGCGAGGGGGAUAACCGGCCGAAAGGCUGGCUAAUACCGCAUGAACUCGGAAAUGCCAAGCGGGUGACCUUCCGGCCUCGCGCCCUCGGGGCGGCCGAGGUCUGAUCGGGCUAGUUGGUGGGGUACUGGCCCACCAAGGCGACGAUCGGCACUGGGUCUGAGAGGACGGACCGCCAGACGGGGAGUGAGGAAGAGCCCAGACGCUGACGGGAGGCAGCGGUGGGGAAUCUUGGACGAGGGGGGAGAGCGUGAUCCAGCAAAGCCGCGUGGGGGAAGAAGGCGUUCGGGUUGUAAAGCCCUGUCGGCGGGGAAGAAAUCAGUCAGGCGAAUAGUCGGUCCGGAUGACGGUACCCGCAGAAGAAGCACCGGCUAACUACGUG